UCCCCGUCUAUCACUCCUCUCCCCUCGCUCCGUCUCUUCCCCCAGUCUUCUGAACACUCUCUAAAGUCUCGACUGAUGUCAUCGUAUCCAUUCCGUUCUGCAGAUAUUAAAGCAGUCCUGUACAGAGAUCCUGACAGUGGAGCCUUCCAGUGUCUGUGUGAACCAGUCGUUUGACAUCGUGCUUCGAGGGAACGGCUUCUCUGUGGGACGAGGCAACGGCGGGGUCGUCUGUAGCUUCAUGGUGGGCCAGCAGAUCUACAACAGGAAGCCAAGUGUUGUGCAGAACGAUUAUCUCCUGUGUCCUGCACCGGUGCUGU